rnacentral:rRNA from 1 species
CCUACGGGCGGCUGCAGUGGGGAAUAUUGGACAAUGGGGGCAACCCUGAUCCAGCCAUGCCGCGUGUGUGAAGAAGGCCCUCGGGUUGUAAAGCACUUUCAGUGAGGAAGAACGCCUGGUGGUUAAUACCCAUCAGGAAAGACAUCACUCACAGAAGAAGCACCGGCUAACUCCGUGCCAGCAGCCGCGGUAAUACGGAGGGUGCGAGCGUUAAUCGGAAUUACUGGGCAUAAAGCGCGCGUAGGUGGCUUGAUAAGCCGGUUGUGAAAGCCCCGGGCUCAACCUGGGAACGGCAUCCGGAACUGUCAAGCUAGAGUGCAGGAGAGGAAGGUAGAAUUCCCGGUGUAGCGGUGAAAUGCGUAGAGAUCGGGAGGAAUACCAGUGGCGAAGGCGGCCUUCUGGACUGACACUGACACUGAGGUGCGAAAGCGUGGGUAGCAAAGAGGAUUAGAUACCCGAGUAGUC